GCGGAACGCCCCAGGGCGUUUAGUCCGUGCGAGUCGGACAUACCCACUGGCUUCUCCCGGGCCAGUGGGAUCCAUAACGGAUUCCCCUGGGUCAAAAAAAAAAAAGGUUAGAACUGUGCCCAAGGAGGCGGCCAUCGUUGAGUCUUGGGGGCAAAGUAAUGGUUCAGUGGACGUUAGGGUUGAGCAUGAGGUGGAACAACUCGGAGCUGCGCUGAUUCGAAUCUGCGACGCAGCGAUGCCUAGAGCAAAACUUCUUUCGACGAAACGACGGGUGUACUGGUGGAUACCAGAACUCAUUGCUAGAAUUCACUGCCAGAAUCAAUUGCGAAACGCUUGCGUGGCUGCGCGCUGUCAAUACACAAGAAGUAGAAGAAGGCGCAUCCGAGUUCAAAACGCUGCAUAAUGCUAUCGCGCAGGCCAAAGAGGCCAGGGAAGCGCUCAACAGGGAUCCAUGGGGCAGAUCGUAUCGGAGCGUAAGGCAAAAGCUCCGGCCUUGCCCCCCCCCCCCCCCCUCCCUUCCCCCACUGACCAGCAGUCUCGAGCCAGAUCUUUUGGAACGAGUUGUCAGUGCUCUUUUCCUAGAAAGGGGCGGCUUUGUGCCACCAGCUAUGGCAUCUGGUUGUGCCAUACCACCAGACGUGGUUAGAGAGGUACCGCCAGUCACGGAGGUCGAACUGAGUGUUGCUGUCUUGAAACUCCGCUCCA